UACGUAGGUGGCAAGCGUUGUCCGGAUUUACUGGGCGUAAAGAGCGCGCAGGCGGUCGUUCAAGUCGCGUGUGAAAGCCCCCGGCUCAACUGGGGAGGGUCACGCGAUACUGAUCGACUCGAAGGCAGGAGAGGGUAGUGGAAUUCCCGGUUGUAGUGGUGAAAUGCGUAGAGUAUCGGGAGGAACACCAGUGGCGAAGGCGACUACCUGGCUGUUCUUGACGCUGAGGCGCGAAAGCUAGGGGAGCGAACGAGG
rnacentral:rRNA from 1 species